UUCCGAAUGGGGAAACCCAGUGUGUUUCGACACACUAUCAUUAACUGAAUCCAUAGGUUAAUGAGGCGAACCGGGGGAACUGAAACAUCUAAGUACCCCGAGGAAAAGAAAUCAACCGAGAUUCCCCCAGUAGCGGCGAGCGAACGGGGAGGAGCCCAGAGCCUGAAUCAGUGUGUGUGUUAGUGGAAGCGUCUGGAAAGGCGCGCGAUACAGGGUGACAGCCCCGUACACAAAAAUGCACAUAUUGUGAGCUCGAUGAGUAGGGCGGGACACGUGGUAUCCUGUCUGAAUAUGGGGGGACCAUCCUCCAAGGCUAAAUACUCCUGACUGACCGAUAGUGAACCAGUACCGUGAGGGAAAGGCGAAAAGAACCCCGGCGAGGGGAGUGAAAAAGAACCUGAAACCGUGUACGUACAAGCAGUGGGAGCCUCUU
rnacentral:rRNA from 1 species